UCCAGACCUUGCUGCUGCUUUCUCCUGGGAGUGACUCCCUCAGCUUCUCGGGGAGAGCAUCACCAGUGGGGUACUGAGCAUUUAAAUCAUGGAAUAUCUGAGGUUGGAAGGGACUCAGCCAGGCUCUGGUGCACAGGACACUGCCAGUGGCAUCACUCACCUCUUGAAUGGCAGGAAAGCACAAAAUGGGUGAAGAAAGAACCAAAAUUUCAGUUUGUGGAAGGUCAGCAGAAGAAGGGCUGAAGUGGUGUCCAGGAAUGGGAAUGUUGGGCUGAAGGAAGUUUUUGGGGUAGAGAGGAGGAACAGCAAACUCUGAGAAACAGCCAGGAUAAUCCCCUGCUGGAAAAGAACUGGAAAUUCUCUCCUGGUAGGUUUAUCUGUG
rnacentral:lncRNA from 12 species